GAGACAGCAGUAAAACAGUUCUGGAUGUGCAGGUCGGACAUGAGGCAAUAAAAGCUUGGCCCACCAACCACAUGGCUCCUACCACCCUGUCAACGUAGAGGUUACCGUCGUGAAUCAUGGACCAAGACUGCACUCUUAGG